AUCCCUUCUAGGUCUUUUGGCUAAGAUCAAGUGUAGAAUCUGUUUUUAUCAGUUUAAUAUCUGGUACUUCCUCUAUCCCAGGACAACAUAUUAAGUGGAUUUUUGGAGCAGGGAGAUGGUUGAAAAUAAUAUACACAUGCUUAAUGUUGACCGUUUGAUCCUGCUAAUCAGAUGUUCUGCAUAAAACUG
ensembl:snRNA U2 U2 spliceosomal RNA